GAGUUCGAUCCUGGCUCAGGAUGAACGUUGGUGGCAUGCUUAACACAUGCAAGUCGGACGGGAAGUGGUGUUUCCAGUGAUGGACGGGUGAGUAACGCGUAAGAACCUGCCCUUGGGAGGGGAACAACAGUUGGAAACGGCUGCUAAUACCCCGUAGGCUGAGGAGCAAAAGGAGGAAUUCACCCGAGGAGGGGCUCGCAUCUGAUUAGCUAGUUGGUGAGGCAAUAGCUUACCAAGGCGAUGAUCAAUAGCUGGUCCGAGAGGAUGAUCAGCCACACUAGGACUGAGACACGGCCCAGACUCCUACGGGAGGCAGCAGUAGGGAAUUUUUCGCAAUGGGCGAAAGCUUGACGGAGCAAUGCCACGUAGAGGGAGAAGGCCUACGAGUCGUGAACUUCUUUUUCCGAAGAAGAAGCAAUGACGGUAUCUGGGGAAUAAGCAUCGAUUAACUCUGUGCCAGCAGCAGCGGUAAUACAGAGGAUGCAAGCGUUAUCCGGAAUGAUUGGGCGUAAAGCGUCUGUGGGUGGCUUUUUAAGUUCGCCGUCAAAUCCCAGGGCUCAACCCUGGACAGGAGGUGGAAACUGCCAAGCUGGAGUAUGGUAGGGGCAGAGGGAAUUUCCGGUGGAGCGGUGAAAUGCGUAGAGAUCAGAAAGAACACCAACGGUGAAAGCACUCUGCUGGGCCGACACUGACACUGAGAGACGAAAGCUAGGGGAGCGAAUGGGAUUAGAUACCCCAGUAGUCCUAGCCGUAAACGAUGGAUACUGGGCGCUGUGCGUAUCGACCCAUGCAGUGUUGUAGCUAACGCGUUAAGUAUCCCGCC
rnacentral:ncRNA from 1 species